UACGUAGGUGGCAAGCGUUUGUCCGGAUUUAUUGGGUUUAAAGGGUGCGUAGGCGGUCUUAUAAGUCAGUGGUGAAAUACGGCAGCUCAACUGUCGAGGUGCCAUUGAUACUGUAGGACUUGAGUACAGACGAGGUAGGCGGAAUUGACGGUGUAGCGGUGAAAUGCUUAGAUAUCGUCAAGAACACCGAUAGCGAAGGCAGCUUACUAGGCUGUAACUGACGCUGAGGCACGAAAGUGUGGGGGAUCAAACAGG
rnacentral:rRNA from 1 species